rnacentral:rRNA from 1 species
ACUCCUACGGGAGGCAGCAGUGGGGAAUAUUGCACAAUGGGGGAAACCCUGAUGCAGCCAUGCCGCGUGUGUGAAGAAGGCCUUGGGUUGUAAAGCACUUUCAGUAGGGAGGAAGGUAGUGUAGUUAACACCUGCACUAUUUGACGUUACCUACAGAAGAAGCACCGGCUAACUCCGUGCCAGCAGCCGCGGUAAGUACGGAGGGUGCGAGCGUUAAUCGGAAUUACUGGGCGUAAAGCGCAUGCAGGCGGCCUGUUAAGUCAGAUGUGAAAGCCCGGGGCUUAACCUCGGAAUUGCAUUUGAAACUGGCAGGCUAGAGUCUUGUAGAGGGGUUAGAAUUUCAGGUGUAGCGGUGAAAUGCGUAGAGAUCUGAAGGAAUACCAGUGGCGAAGGCGGCCCCUGGACAAAGACUGACGCUCAGAUGCGAAAGCGUGGGAGCAAACAGGAUUAGAUACCCC